UAGGGAAUUUUCCGCAAUGGGCGAAAGCCUGACGGAGCAAUACCGCGUGAGGGAUGAAUGCCUAUGGGUUGUAAACCUCUUUUUUCAGGGAGGAAUAAAUGACGUGUACCUGAAGAAUAAGCAUCGGCUAACUCCGUGCCAGCAGCCGCGGUAAGACGGAGGAUGCAAGUGUUAUCCGGAAUCACUGGGCGUAAAGCGUCUGUAGGUGGCUUAAUAAGUCAACUGUUAAAUCUUGAAGCUCAACUUCAAAAUCGCAGUCGAAACUAUUAGACUAGAGUAUAGUAGAGGUAAAGGGAAUUUCCAGUGGAGCGGUGAAAUGCGUAGAGAUUGGAAAGAACACCGAUGGCGAAGGCACUUUACUGGGCUAUUACUGACACUCAGAGAC
rnacentral:rRNA from 1 species